GCCUUCGUGGUGUAACGGUAGCACACUCGGCGCGUAUUCAAGAGGUCCAGGGUUUGAUUCCCGGCGAGGAUA
rnacentral:tRNA from 1 species